UUUCUCACUUUCUCUCUCUUCGUGCUCUAAGCAUUCUUCCACAUAUCUCGAUCAUCGAACCCCCCAACUCGAUCGAUAAACUCCCAAUUACUUCUCCAAGUUCGUCGAUUAACCAACUACAACAUCGAUUCCAGCUCAGAUCUAGUUCCAAACAGUGCUCAAAAUUGUCUUCUCCGAUGUAAUCACCUUCCAGUUGUUGUAGAUCUGGCCUGCAACAGUAGUGAUGUUGAUCCGCAGUGUUGCGAAUUGGAGUGGAAUUGAACUUUGGAGAAAGUAGGGAGAGAGAGAGAGAGAGAGAGAGAGAGUAGAGAUUGAAGUUGUUUUGUGGCAUUUGAGAGUGGAAUUGGAAUUUUAGGGUUUUGUUGGUUGCUAGUUAUGGCUGCUCUGCAGAAGCUGCUUCAGUCGAGCACGACUGCGAGCAACUGCGGGUCGCCGUCAUGCAAAGCUGAGGCGGCUGUUCCCGAUCAGUUUCCAGCAGGUUUGAGAGUUCUUGUUGUGGAUGAUGACACUACUUGUCUGAGGAUUUUGGAGCAAAUGCUUCGAAGAUGCAUGUACCUUGUUACAACUUGCUCACAGGCCACCGUUGCUUUGAACUUGUUACGUGAGAGAAAAGGUUGUUUUGAUGUGGUACUGAGUGAUGUGCAUAUGCCUGAUAUGGAUGGCUUUAAACUUCUUGAACUUGUUGGGUUGGAGAUGGACCUGCCUGUCAUUAUGAUGUCAGCUGAUGGAACAACCAGUGCAGUUAUGAGGGGAAUCAGACAUGGGGCUUGUGAUUAUCUAAUUAAGCCUAUACGUGAAGAAGAGUUGAAGAAUAUAUGGCAGCAUGUUGUAAGGAAAAAGUGGAGUGAAAAUAAAGAACAUGAGCACUCAGGUAGCUUGGAUGAUAAUGAUCGGCAUAAACGAGGAAGUGAUGAUGCUGAAUAUGCUUCUUCUGUGAAUGAAGAAACAGAAGGAUUAUUAAAAACACAGAAAAAGAGAAGAGAAGCCAAAGACGAAGAUGAUGGUGAAUUGGAAAUUGAUGAUUCAGCUACAGCAAAGAAGCCUCGUGUUGUGUGGUCAGUGGAGCUCCAUCAGCAAUUUGUUGGUGCAGUGAACCAACUUGGGAUUGAUAAGGCCGUUCCAAAGAGAAUUCUUGAAUUGAUGAAUGUUCCUGGUUUAACUAGAGAAAAUGUUGCAAGCCAUUUGCAGAAAUUCAGAUUAUAUUUGAAGAGGUUAAGUGGAGUAGCUCAACAAGGUGGGAUUCCUAAUCCGUUUUGUGGGCCAAUAGAACAGAAUGCAAAACUGGGUUCAUUAGGAAGAUUUGAUAUUCAAGCUUUGGCUGCUUCUGGCCAAAUUCCUCCACAAACACUGGCAGCUUUGCAUGCUGAGCUUUUAGGUCAACCAACUGGUAACAUUGUGUUUCCUGGAAUGGACCAGCCACUACUACAAGCAUCCCUACAGGGACCCUAAUGUAAAGAUCCUGUUGAUCAUAGUGUGGCAUAUGGUCAGCCUUUGAUGAGAUGCCCAUCCAACAUUUCCAAACAGUUUCCACAAACCAUCAUAAAUGCUGAGGAUGUUCAUUCAGGACUAGGAGCAUGGCCAUCUAAUGGACUUGGUACUGUAGGUCCCAACAGCAAUCUUGGUGGCAUGGGUGCUCAAAGUGGUAAUAUUUUAAUGGGUAUGUUCCACCAACAGCAACAGCAACAGCAACAGCAACCACGCCAGCAGCAGCAGCAGCAACAACAGCAACAGCAACAGCAACAGAAACUGUCUAUACUACCAGAACCCAGCCGAUCAAUUAAUGUGCAGCCUUCUUGCCUGGUGGUCCCUUCUAAGUCAUCAACCAUUUUUGAAGUGGGAAAGAAUCAUGAUUCGGUUAAUCAGAACUGCAGCUUUACUAGAAGUUCUGUUAUCGAUUACAGCCUUCUCUCACCUCAUUCAAAUAAUCCCUUGUUUGGUGCUGGGCAACUAUCGGAUGGGGAUCUGAAAACAACAGGCGUGCGUAAUGGGUACUCGGGUCCUGGUUCCAUAUCUCCAUCUGUGUCAUCUUGCUCCAUAAAUGCUGAUAACGGUGCUAAUAGGCAACUUCAGAACUCGACCAUGGCAUCUAGUUCUGGCAGACAGUUGCCAGGGCUUGCUCCAAAUAUGUGUGAUAUCCAAGCUUCUUAUUGCACCAAGUCAGAUCAAGUGCUUGAUCAGGGACCACUAAGAAAUCUUGGAUUUGUUGGUAAAGGAACUUCCAUUCCAAGCCGGUUUGCGGUGGAUGAACCUGAAUCACUAAUGAGCAACUUGAAUUAUGGAAAGAUGUAUGGGGAGAACAAUGGAAGCAAAGUGAAGCAGGAGACAAGUAUGGAUUUUAUGGAGAAUGGAAAAGUGAGCAUCCCAAUACUACAAAAUUUUUCACCAAACGAGCUCAUGAGUGUUUUCUCUGAAUAGGCUUGCAUGACGCCAAAAGUUAUAUUCCAGGAAGUCUCCCUGAUUUCCAUGGAGGACAAGAAGAAUCGUAUCACCAAAAGUUAGGAAGAGAUUCCAGUUAAAAAUGUUAUAUUUAUUUUACGUAGACCUGAAGUGCUUCAGUGCUUCUACCACUCUCAAACGAAGAAUUGAGGUAUAAAAAAAAAUUACAAGAAUGCUGUUGUGAAGAUAGUUGUCUGAAAAUUGCUUGGACAGCUUAUUUUUUUUUAUACUUCCAUGCAAGUAUUAUUAUUACCUUUUAACUAGUGUUUAGGGAAUAAGUCGGCAAAAACUCCAGCCGGUUGAGCUGUUCUCUCCACCAUGAAGGCAUCUCGCUGACAUAAUUGUGUAGUUUGAGGCUUCUGAUGCUAGAAUGCUCAUUUAUUUAUUACCCAUUGAAUCUUGAAUUUGGAAAAUUAUAUAUAGUUAUUGUAAGCUUGUAAAUUAUUUUAGUUUAGUUGUCAUUA